GCGGUCACCGAAGCAUGAUGUCGUCGCCAUGCCAGAAUCUCAAAAUUGGCCAGAAAGGGCUUCUAACAUCGAUUUUUAGUUUUAUAGGGUAUUUCUAGGUACUUGGUAGUAGUAGUAGUAGCAUUUAUAGUAAUAGUAUUAGUUGUAGUAGUACUUAUAAAUACCCAUGUACUUGAAGGCUUUUAGCAUCAACCACAAAUCAAAACUUGAGUUUCUCAAUUUGUCUCUCUUACUUCUUCCUCUUAU
rnacentral:lncRNA from 1 species